UAGGGAAUCUUCGGCAAUGGACGGAAGUCUGACCGAGCAACGCCGCGUGAGUGAAGAAGGUUUUCGGAUCGUAAAGCUCUGUUGUAAGAGAAGAACGAGUGUGAGAGUGGAAAGUUCACACUGUGACGGUAUCUUACCAGAAAGGGACGGCUAACUACGUGCCAGCAGCCGCGGUAAUACGUAGGCCCCGAGCGUUGUCCGGAUUUAUUGGGCGUAAAGCGAGCGCAGGCGGUUAGAUAAGUCUGAAGUUAAAGGCUGUGGCUUAACCAUAGUACGCUUUGGAAACUGUUUAACUUGAGUGCAAGAGGGGAGAGUGGAAUUCCAUGUGUAGCGGUGAAAUGCGUAGAUAUAUGGAGGAACACCGGUGGCGAAAGCGGCUCUCUGGCUUGUAACUGACGCUGAGGCUCGAAAGCGUGGGGAGCAAACAGGAUUAGAUACCCUGGUAGUCCACGCCGUAAACGAUGAGUGCUAGGUGUUAGACCCUUUCCGGGGUUUAGUGCCGCAGCUAACGCAUUAAGCACUCCGCCUGGGGAGUACGACCGCAAGGUUG
rnacentral:rRNA from 1 species